CCCAACCUGCCGUCUACUCUUGGACAGCCUUCUGAAAGGAAGAUUAAUACAAGAUGGCAUCAUGAGUCCGCAUGUUCACAUGAUUAAAGGUAUUCCGGUAGACGAUGGGGAUGCGUUCCAUUAGAUAGUAGGCGGGGUAACGGCCCACCUAGUCUUCGAUGGAUAGGGGUUCUGAGAGGAAGGUCCCCCACAUUGGAACUGAGACACGGUCCAA
rnacentral:rRNA from 1 species